rnacentral:piRNA from 1 species
UGGUCAAGAUGUGGUCCUACUCAUUGU